GUGAUAGACCCAUGUGUUCCUAUCAAUUUCUGUGACCGUGGGACAUAAGUGCUAACAUUUUGAUCAGGAGUCGGGAAGUUUUGUCAUUAUUUUCGUUUUUCAAUGGGUGUUUCGAACUCUAUCUCUCGUUUGUUAAUGCCUGGUGGUUGUUUUCUUUGUUUUGACUCAUGGAUCUGAACGACGUUAGAUUUAAUUGGAUUUCGUCUGCCAUUGGAACCAAACUGGAACUUUGUGUUUUCCUUUCUUGUUUUCUUUUUGGGUACCACACACAUGAUGUUACUAUGGUUCCAUAUUUUAGGGAUUGAGGUUCCACCGACACCUUCCUAUCAUUGCGAACGCUAAAUUGAAUGAGGUAAGAUGGAUCUUGCAUUGUUCAGGUUGUUGGUGGAUCCGCCUACGAUGCCACAUCUUCUGAGACCAAGACAGAAAUGUCAGCGUCCAAAGGGAAGAAUGAGAAAGACGAAAAGCUUUCACCACCUUCAGCUCCGUCGUCGUCAGACAAAGCCAUAGCUGAAUUUAUGUCUCAAGCUUGUAGAUUCAAGAGAUAUUGCUGAACUGCAGCUAAAGCAAAAUAGUUGUGAACUUAUCAUUCGCAAAAAGGAGGCUUUGCCUCAGUCUCAAACUGCUCAAGUUGUUAUGAUGCAAACCCUGCGCCUGUUUCAUCAGCAGUUCCACAAGCACCUCCUGUCACUGCCCUACCUUCACCUUCUCCAGCAUCAUCUGGACCUCCUGCUACCCCUAAGGAUUUAAAGACGUCACAUUCUCCUCUUAAGUCCUAUGACAGGAACAUUUUACAGAAACCCUGGUCCAGGAUUGCCUCCUUUUGUUAAGCCUGGUGAUAAAGUCAACAAGGGACAAGUCCUCUGCAUUAUUGAAGCUAUGAAACUGAUGAAUGAAAUUGAAGCUGAUCAGGCUGGAACAGUCGUUGAGAUAUUAUUGAUUGAAGAUGGCAAACCUGUGGGCGUAGGACAGUCAAUUUUUAUGAUUGUGCCUUAAAGCUAUCUACCUAGCUAUGGUAGUUCAAAUCAGAUACUCUUUCUUUUAGUUUCUUCCUGGGCUGGUUCUGGUUACAUAGACGGUGAUAGCUUGAUCUGACUACUUUUAGUCACAAAAUUGUUUUUUCUCCUUCAAAGUGCGCAAUGAAUAAUUCGUAUUAUCCUAGUAUCAAGCUCACAUCUCAUUAACAUUUUAGGACACUGAAAUUGAGUCUUUUUUCCUCCUCUUUAAAUCUCUCCCCCCUCUUUCUUUCUCUCUCUCUCUCUCUCUCUUAAAUAUUCUGUAUUAAUCAUUUGAAUGUUAAUCUGAGUUUAAUUGCUUGAGAUUCUUUGAAGUUGAUUGCUUUUUUUAAAAAAAAUAUUUUUCUUUGUUUAACUGGGCAGGCAUCCUCUUUGUGUAGAUGUUAUCCAGCAAAAGCAGUACAUGUUUGAGAAUAAUCAGGAUGUGCUCAUAAACCAAAGUAUUUAGGAAAAAAAGUCUAUUAAUUGCAGCAAACAGUCCACAAAGGAGCAACCUAGGGUUAUAAUUAAGAUAGUUACCAAGUUGUUAUAUCAUGAGUACAGGGAUCCCACUUUUGCCCACUUUGGGUGGGCUAAAGUGUUGGCGGUUAGGGCUCAGCUCGCAAUGUGCUAAAUGAGAGAUUAAGGCUAAUAAAUCUCCCUGGUCUCCUCCACUUCCUGGUUCUUCCUACGUUUCUUAUUCCUCAUGGCUUUCUAUGUGAUUUCCUUUCGGAGAGAUUGGUGAGUUUGGCUUGUCAGACUAAUAUUUCUCACUGGUUGCAUGCUAUGAGUACAGGUUGGAGAAAUGACCUGAAUCUGAGUAACAUAACUGUGAUUUAAUUUCUCAAUUAGAAGUGUGAUUUUUUUUCCAUUAAAAGGGCAGCCCGGUGUACGAAGUUCUUGUCAUGCGGGGUCCCGGGGAAGGAUCCAUUGUACACGGUCUUAUCCUACUUUUUAUAAGAGGCUGUUUUCAGGAUUCGAACCCGUGAUCUUUUGAUCACAAAGUAACAAUUUUACCUUUUUUCCAUUAUUUGAUAUUAUUAAUUUUAGUGUUUUGAUCAAAAUUAAUCCUACUUUGAUAAUAAUUUCCUUGAAUACAAAGAAUUUGGAGAAAGAAUGCCAUCGGAUAUCUACGCACUCAUGCCAGCGUUUAUGUUGUGAUUCUUGUUUAGAGAGUGACAUAUUUGUUACAUUGGAGUAAGGGAUUAAUUCUCGAUAGACGUAUACUCUUGGCAAAAAAAAAAUUUCUCACCUUCUAGUCAAUUUGUAAAGGAUAUCUAGGAUAACUAUAAUCUUCUUUUACUAGAAUGUUUGUUAUGAUUCUCCAAGAAAUCUGUUUA